rnacentral:rRNA from 1 species
UACGUAGGUGGCGAGCGUUGUCCGGAUUUACUGGGCGUAAAGGAUGCGUAGGUGGAAAUUUAAGUGGGAUGUGAAAUCCCCGGGCUCAACCCGGGAACUGCAUUCCAAACUGGAUUUCUUGAGUACAGGAGAGGAAAGCGGAAUUCCUAGUGUAGCGGUGAAAUGCGUAGAUAUUAGGAGGAACACCAGUAGCGAAGGCGGCUCUCUGGACUGUAACUGACGCUGAGGCACGAAAGCGUGGGGAGCAAACAGGAUUAGAUACCCGCGUAGUCCCUGAG